AUUGAACGCUGGCGGCAUGCCUUACACAUGCAAGUCGAACGGUAACAGGUCUUCGGAUGCUGACGAGUGGCGAACGGGUGAGUAAUACAUCGGAACGUGCCUAGUAGUGGGGGAUAACUACUCGAAAGAGUGGCUAAUACCGCAUGAGAUCUACGGAUGAAAGCAGGGGAUCGCAAGACCUUUGGCUACUAGAGCGGCCGAUGGCAGAUUAGGUAGUUGGUGGGAUAAAAGCUUACCAGGCCGACGAUCUGUAGCUGGUCUGAGAGGACGAUCAGCCACACUGGGACUGAGACACGGCCCAGACUCCUACGGGAGGCAGCAGUGGGGAAUUUUGGACAAUGGGCGAAAGCCUGAUCCAGCAAUGCCGCGUGCAGGAUGAAGGCCUUCGGGUUGUAAACGCUUUUGUCAGGGAAGAAACGCUCUGGGUUAAUACCCUGGGGUAAUGACGGUACCUGAAGAAUAAGCACCGGCUAACUACGUGCCAGCCGCCGCCGUAAUAC
rnacentral:rRNA from 1 species